UUGAACGCUGGCGGCAUGCUUUACACAUGCAAGUCGAACGGUAACAGGCCUUCGGGUGCUGACGAGUGGCGAACGGGUGAGUAAUGCAUCGGAACGUACCCAGAGGUGGGGGAUAACGCAGCGAAAGCUGUGCUAAUACCGCAUGUGAUCUGAGGAUGAAAGCGGGGGACCGAGCAGCAAUGUUUGGCCUCGCGCCUUUGGAGCGGCCGAUGUCGGAUUAGCUAGUUGGUGGGGUAAAGGCCUACCAAGGCGACGAUCCGUAGCUGGUCUGAGAGGACGACCAGCCACACUGGGACUGAGACACGGCCCAGACUCCUACGGGAGGCAGCAGUGGGGAAUUUUGGACAAUGGGCGCAAGCCUGAUCCAGCAAUGCCGCGUGCGGGAAGAAGGCCUUCGGGUUGUAAACCGCUUUUGGCAGGAACGAAACGGUGUCCGCUAAUACCGGGCGCUAAUGACGGUACCUGCAGAAUAAGCACCGGCUAACUACGUA
rnacentral:rRNA from 1 species